rnacentral:rRNA from 1 species
AUUGAACGCUGGCGGCAUGCCUUACACAUGCAAGUCGAACGGCAGCACGGGAGCAAUCCUGGUGGCGAGUGGCGAACGGGUGAGUAAUAUAUCGGAACGUGCCCAGUCGUGGGGAUAACGUAGCGAAAGCUACGCUAAUACCGCAUACGAUCUAUGGAUGAAAGCGGGGGAUCGCAAGAGCCUCGCGCGAUUGGAGCGGCCGAUAUCAGAUUAGGUAGUUGGUGGGGGUAAAGGCUCACCAAAGCCAACGAUCUGUAGCUGGUCUGAGAGGACGACCAGCCACACUGGAACUGAGACACGGCCCAGACUCCUACGGGAGGCAGCAGUGGGGAAUUUUUGGGACAAUGGGCGCAAGCCUGAUCCAGCAAUGCCGCGU